rnacentral:rRNA from 1 species
UACGUAGGGUGCAAGCGUUGUCCGGAAUUAUUGGGCGUAAAGAGCUCGUAGGCGGCUAGUCGCGUCGGCUGUGAAAACCUGGGGCUCAACCCCGGGCCUGCAGCCGAUACGGGCUAGCUAGAAUUCGGUAGGGGAGACUGGAAUUCCUGGUGUAGCGGUGAAAUGCGCAGAUAUCAGGAGGAACACCGGUGGCGAAGGCGCCACUCUGGGCCGAAACUGACGCUGAGACGCGAAAGCGUGGGGAGCGAACAGG